AUUGAACGCUGGCGGCAUGCUUUACACAUGCAAGUCGAACGGUAACAGGCCUUCGGGCGCUGACGAGUGGCGAACGGGUGAGUAAUGCAUCGGAACGUGCCCAGUCGUGGGGGAUAACUAUCCGAAAGGAUAGCUAAUACCGCAUACGAUCUGCGGAUGAAAGCGGGGGACCUUCGGGCCUCGUGCGAUUGGAGCGGCCGAUGUCAGAUUAGGUAGUUGGUGGGGUAAAGGCUCACCAAGCCAACGAUCUGUAGCUGGUCUGAGAGGACGACCAGCCACACUGGGACUGAGACACGGCCCAGACUCCUACGGGAGGCAGCAGUGGGGAAUUUUGGACAAUGGGCGCAAGCCUGAUCCAGCAAUGCCGCGUGCAGGAAGAAGGCCUUCGGGUUGUAAACUGCUUUUGUACGGAACGAAACGGCUCUGGUUAAUACCCGGGGCUAAUGACGGUACCGUAAGAAUAAGCACCGGCUAACUACGUGCCAGCCGCCGCAGUAAGAC
rnacentral:rRNA from 1 species